AUACGAGGGGCCCGAGCGUUAGGCGGAAUCACUGGGCUUAAAGCGUGCGCAGGCGGAUCGGCAAGCGUCUUGUGAAAACCCACGGCUCAACCGUGGAACUGCAGGGCGAACUGCCGGUCUUGAGGCAGGUAGGGGUCAACGGAACUGUCGGUGGAGCGGUGAAAUGUGUAGAUAUCGACAGGAACGCCGGUGGCGAAGGCGGUUGACUGGGCCUGUCCUGACGCUCAGGCACGAAAGCGUGGGGAGCAAACAGGAUUAGAUACCCCGGUAGUCC
rnacentral:rRNA from 1 species